GACGAACGCUGGCGGCGUGCUUAACACAUGCAAGUCGAACGGAGUGGCGAACGGGUGGGUAACACGUGGGUGAUCUGCCUUGCACUCUGGGAUAAGAUUGGGAAACUGGGUCUAAUACCGGAUAGUGCAAGAUGAGCUCGCGGCCUAUCAGCUUGUUGGUGGGUGAAUGGCCUACCAACGCGUCCACGUGUAGCCGGCCUGUGAGGGUGUACGGCGACAGUGGGACUGAGAGAAGGCCCAGACGCCGACGGGAGGGAGAAGUGGGGAAUAGUGCACAAUGGGCGGAGGGCUGAUGUAGCGACGCCGCGGGGUGGAUGAUGGUCUUCGGGGUGUAAACGCCUUUCGACAUGGACGCGGUACCUGUAUAAGAAGCACCGGCUAACUACGUGCCAGCAGCCGCGGUAAUUC
rnacentral:rRNA from 1 species